rnacentral:rRNA from 1 species
GAUGAACGCUGGCGGCGUGCUUAACACAUGCAAGUCGAGCGGGCAAUUUAUCUAGCACUGAUUACUUCAAAUGGCUAUCGCCAGUGUAAUCAUGAAUUUCUACCUUAUAAUAAAGAAAAAAGAAAUUCAUGUACGCAAAUAGUGAUAACACAUGAAAGUGGAGUGAUGAGUGCUGGAUAAAUUGCUAGCGGCGGACGGGUGCGUAACACGUGGGUAACCUGCCCCUAUCACUGGGAUAACACACUGAAAAGUGUGCUAAUACCAGAUAAUAUAAGCUUUUGGCAUCAUUAGCUUAUCAGAGAAUUUCGGAUAGGGAUGGGCCCGCGUCUGAUUAGCUAGUUGGUGAGGUAACGGCUCACCAAGGCAAUGAUCAGUAGCCGACCUGAGAGGGUGAUCGGCCACACUGGAACUGAGACACGGUCCAGACUCCUACGGGAGGCAGCAGUGGGGAAU